ACUCAAAUGAAUAGACGGGGACCCGCACAAGCGGUGGAGCAUGUGGUUUAAUUCGAAGCAACGCGAAGAACCUUACCAAAUCUUGACAUCCCUUUGACGUACACUUAAUCGUGUAUUCCCUUCGGGGCAAAGGUGACAGGUGGUGCAUGGUUGUCGUCAGCUCGUGUCGUGAGAUGUUGGGUUAAGUCCCGCAACGAGCGCAACCCUUAUCUUUAGUAGCCAGCAGUUCGGCUGGGCACUCUAGAGAGACUGCCGGGGAUAACCCGGAGGAAGGCGGGGAUGACGUCAAAUCAUCAUGCCCCUUAUGAUUUGGGCUACACACGUGCUACAAUGGCGUAAACAAAGGGAAGCAGAGUCGUGAGGCCGAGCAAAUCCCAAAAAUAACGUCUCAGUUCGGAUUGUAGUCUGCAACUCGACUACAUGAAGCUGGAAUCGCUAGUAAUCGCGAAUCAGAAUGUCGCGGUGAAUACGUUCCCGGGUCUUGUACACACCGCCCGU
rnacentral:rRNA from 1 species